CCAGCUCCCUGCCCCCUGGGCUUGCAAGGUGCCGCCGGUGGCUACAGAUCGCUGACGCGGAGGGUGAAUAGCUAGGCACCCCAGUGCUCGCGCUAGAGGACCUCGGAGUUGUCUAGGCGCGGCGGGGGUGCGCUGGGGUGCAGGGUGAACUUUGUUUUCCUUGCGGCUGAUGAGGUGCGCCCGUUGCUCUCGCUCCGUUUAAGCUGCUUGGCUGUCCAAGUUGUGUGGAUCUCUGUAAUUUGCCAACCUUAAUGGGCAUAUUAGGAAAGCCAUAAACUUUUUGGCAGUAUCUGUCAAAGACUGCUUCCAUCAGCCAAACCCGAGAAAUAAUAAAUUUGCUUUUAAUUGUGUGGGCUGAGAAGUCUGUUGAGUCCAAAAGCUCUUAGAAAAAAACCGGAGUAUGGAAAUUUACUACUGAAAAGCCCACUUAGAGGAAUAAAUCUUUUUUUUUUUAAUGAAAACAGGAAAUUAGCUCAGGCAUUGCCAGGCAUUCCUUCUUAGACCUGCAAAAAGCUUUCAUCUGCUUUUCUUUGAUCUUUGUUACUUUGAGGCUAUUUCCUUUACAUUGAUUGUUACAAAGUUUGACACACACAUAGGAUGAUAGCCAGCCAAAGGUACUGGAAAAACAUGAAGUACGAAAACUCAGGACUGUAGGCUAAGAACAGUAGUUAGUUUAAGCCCUUGACAGUUGCCAGAGCAGUCAGUUGCCUCCAAGAUUUUGUUGCCCUGUGCUUGGGUAAAUAAACCUGCUGACUGGUUUCCGUGCAUGGAGACUACCCGCUGCUAGCUAGCUAGAGUGGGGCAGGAUUUCCAGCUGGAGGAAGCUUGGGACUCCCUCUGGGUCUUCCUGGUGAGGCAGGGAUGCUGUCGCCUGCUGCCGGAGUGAGCACUAACAGGAGUUUGGGCACAGAGCAGCAGGAUUCCCACUAACCACCCUCCCUAGGGAAAUGAACAUCCCAGUGGGCAACUGCGACACAAUGCCUUGUCCUCUCGCUAUCUUUUAAUUCUAUUGUUCAUGAACAUUUUGAGGCCAAGGGAUUUAGUUUAUUUUAAUAGGCUCUCCCUACCCCCGAUGAAGACCGUUGGAAAAAAAUAGGAGAGAAUAGCUUUUCUGAGAUUUUGAGCAUAGUUCUGGACAAGCUUUGGGCGUAGGUAUUUGGGUCAGUGUUGGAUGUCUUUGAGAAAAGUUUAAACUUAAAGCAAACCUCCUGUCCAUGAAGUGAAGGGAGGUACACCCCGCUGCCUUCUGUAUCCUCAGCCUUGUCAGGGUCAGCUUAGCACUCCCAGAAAG